AACUCACGGGUCUUCUGUGGCAGCUAAAAAAAUAAAUGGUAAAAGUUCCAAAUUUGCUUACAUUUGGGUUGGGAAUUCUGAAAGUCAGUGCCCAGGUCAAUGCGCUUGGCCAUUCCAUCAGCCUAUUUACGGACCACAGAACCCACCACUGGUUGCACCCAACAACGACGUAGGUCUUGAUGGUAUGGUUAUCAAUUUGGCUAGCCUUUUGGCUGGGACUGUGACCAACCCAUUCGGAAACGGCUACUUCCAAGGUCCAAAGGGGGCUCCUCUCGAGGCUGCAUCAGCUUGUCCUGGUGUAUAUGGGAAAGGAGCGUAUCCUGGUUAUGCUGGCGAUCUAUUGGUGGACUCAACAACUGGUGCUAGCUAUAAUGCACACGGCGUCAAUGGCAGGAAAUAUCUGAUUCCUGCUUUGUUUGACCCUUCAACCUCUGCUUGUUCCACUUUGGUUUAAACAACAAGAAUCGCUACACGCCCAGACAUGCUUAUUUGCUUGUAGAAUUAUAUAAGAUUAUUUCCAAGAUAUUCUUUCAUUCUUUAUUCCUUAUAUAUAUUUGUUUUAUAUAUAUACUGAAUCUAAACUUAUACGCAAAGUUGUUUUAUAGACAUUAUCUAUACACGAAUAUUUUUAUCUUUUUCUUUUACUAUAAAUUUUUAUUGUUGAUUGAAUUUUAAUUAUUGUUCAGAUUCAUAUAUAAUCUCAAAAUUGUAUAAUCUUUUAAAUAACAAUAAAUUUAACUGAAAAGAAAAAGUCUCUAUAUUUAUAAAAACUGUAGCACUAUAUAUAUUUUACAUUUUGUUGCCAUUUCAUUCUGAUUUGACCCUUAUGCUAAUUUCAUCGUAAACUUUAAUCUUUUAUUGCAAUUUCUCUCCAAUUUGAGAUUUUUAUUAAUUUCAUCCUAAAUUUUAACCUUUUAUAGCAAUAGCAUCCUAAAUUAUAAUUAAAAUUUAAAUUAUAAAUAAAAAUUGCUUCAUUCUUGAUCUUGGGCUUACAUUAACUAAAUACAUUUGUAUAAAUGAGUGAGUUUGAGUUAACAAUACGGACAAUCUCUAUUAUUAUUUUUAAUAUUUUUUAAUUAUUUCUUUAAUUGAUAAUGAUUAAUAUUUAAAAAUUGAUUAUUUGAUACAAGAACGUUUUUUAAAAAAAAUUAAAAUAUAAUUGUUAUUAUGAUAUGAUUUUAAAUAUAAAUUUUGAAAUAAUUAUAAAAUCUAAAAACAAAGCUAUGUAUUUAAUUGACCCAUAAACUAAUAGAAAUUGUAAUUUUUUUUUGUCAAAAUAGAAUAUAAGAUAUAAUUAUAAUCAAUUGUAGUUUAAAAUUGUAGAAUGAAAAAAAUAUAUCUACUCAAAAUAACAACUAAACUUAACAAAUUUGUAUGAGUAAGUAAAUUUGAAUUAAGCUAACCCAGAGUCACGAUGGGUUUCAUAUCAAUGUAAUUUUUUAAUUAAGUUUUAAUUGCAAUUUAGGUGUUAAUACAACAAAAGAUCAAAAUAUAGUAAAAUUGCAAUACAGUAUAAAGUUUAAAGUAAAACAAUGUAUUAAACCUUUUUUUUACGAAUAUCAAAUUAUGUCUAUCAUACUUAAUUUCGUCUUUCUAUUUGUUAAUUUUUUUUUUACGAUGCUAAUCGGGUAAUAACAUCAAACAAAAAUGAUAUAUAUUUUUGAAUAGAGAAUGGAUUAGUUAAUCAAAUAGGUUUUUCAAUAUAGAAUUUAUAUUAUCAUCUCGUUUUAAGACAAAACUGAAAAUUUUUUAAUUAUCAUCUCAUCUUGUCUUACACACACCUUUAACUUCCGUCUAUUCCUUUGCUAUCGACCAAUGAAUUUUCCAUCAGUAAAUUUCAUCAAUGAUUAUGUGUUUCUCCUAUAUAUUGUCAUGUCUUUUUGUUCUAAUAUGUAUUUUUCACCUAUAAGAAAACAAAAAUAACUUGAAGCUAUUCAAUUUUGUCAAUUUUCAUACUUUGAAAAUGAAAUAACUAAUAAAAAGAAAAUGAUUCUAAAUCAGUUGAAAUUAUAUUAUUUUAAUUAUAUUGAUAUUGUAAGAAUUCAAUUUAACUAGACUAAGUUCCUAAUUAAAUUACAUACAUAUUCUUACAAUUUCUAUUAUAAUUUCGUAGGCUUCUAAUCUUAUUGAUAAUUUUUAAUAUUUUCAUCCAUCCCAUGAAAAUAGGUUUAUUUUUAUUUUCAUAAAAAUUAAGUAAAAAGAGUUAAUAUAGUUUAAACAAUCAAUUUUACCUAACUAUAUUUUUCCUACCUCUAUAUUAAUAUUAUACAUUAUUUCCAACGAAGAAUUGAAUUGAAAAUUUAUUGAUAAUAAAAUAUAUUAAAUAGGAAUAUACUAGAGACCAAAGAAAUUAGCCAUACUUUCUAAAAAGGAAAACAACUUAUAUUUGCGACAAUUAAAAAAAAUGCAAGCCUCAAAGAGAGCAGUAAAUGCUGAUAGUUACGAAAAUCAAUUAAAUUAAUCUAAUUACUCCCUUAAUUUUAUAAAAAUAUAUGUAAUUUUCUUAUUUAUUUUUUUCAAAUUAUAAUGCUAUUUUCUACUUUAAGAGCGUAACAUUGACAGAAUACAGAAAUUUAUUUUUGAAUUUUUUUUUACUUUAAUUUUGUGUCACCUUCAACUUUUAAUUUAACUUAUCAAAUAUUUCAAAUUAUAAAAUUACAUCAAUUAAUUGUUCAUUAAAAAAUUAAAAUUUAUAAAAAUUAAUUUUCGGAAAAUCAUGUUGUAUAUUUUAGAAAUAAAAGACAAAAAUCCUCCUUUUUUUCCUCCCAAAAAUACAUAGCUUAAUUUAGUUUUUCAUAUCUUUUUCUUUCUAGAAGAUACUUUUCAUUGGACUUUAGCUUCAAAUCUGAUAAGUCAAACAUUAUGGCAAGGGGGAUUCGGUUGAAAGCGAUAUAACUACAAGCCGCGCACUAUCCAUUAAAGCUUCAACGCGCAAAAUCUUGCUGGCGUUUCCUUAACCAGCCACAACCCGUUUACAGCUGUUUCUUCCGCGUAGCUUCUCUUGGCUUCACUCUGUCACUAUACAUCCCUAUAUAUUAACACUGUCUUCUCAUUCUCUGCUUCAUCAAGCAAAUUCUCUUUUCCUUUCUCAGUUCCUUUCUUCAAUUUCCUAUACAAAAGUUUAUCAAUCAUGGCCUCUUUUGUUUCUGCUCAUUUCUUUCUCCUGCUAGUAUUUGUUGUCUCUCUCUUCCAUCUCAACUCUGCAGCGAGGCAACUCACUGAGUCGACAGAAAACCAGCAAACCCUUUUGUUUCAAUACCAUAAUGGUCCUCUUCUUACUGGCAAAAUUUCUAUAAAUUUGAUCUGGUAUGGAAAAUUCAAACCUUCUCAACAUGCAAUUGUUUCUGACUUUAUUGCUUCCCUUUCUAAGCCUGAAAUAGCCCAACCCUCUGUUUCUACGUGGUUCAAAGCUACUGAAAAAUACUAUAAUCUCAUAAAAUCUAAGAGAGCUUCUUCUCCCGUUGUCCAUUUGGGCACACAAAUUUUUGAUGAGAGUUACUCUUUGGGGAAAUCUCUUUCCAAUAAGCAAAUCGUUGAAUUAGCAUCCAGGGGUGCCCAAAACGAUGCUAUUAACGUCGUUUUGACAUCAAAAGAUGUCACAGUCGAGGGAUUCUGCUCUAGCAGAUGCGGAACUCACGGGUCUUCUGUGGCAGCUAAAAAAAUAAAUGGUAAAAGCUCCAAACUUGCUUACAUUUGGGUUGGGAAUUCUGAAAGCCAGUGCCCAGGUCAAUGCGCUUGGCCAUUCCAUCAACCUAUUUACGGACCUCAGAACCCACCACUGGUUUCACCCAAUAACGAUGUAGGUCUUGAUGGUAUGGUUAUCAAUUUGGCUAGUCUUUUGGCUGGGACUGUGACCAACCCAUUCGGAAAUGGCUACUUCCAAGGUCCAAAGGAGGCUCCUCUUGAGGCUGCAUCAGCUUGUCCUGGUGUAUAUGGGAAAGGAGCCUAUCCUGGUUAUGCUGGGGAUCUAUUGGUGGACUCAACAACUGGUGCUAGCUAUAAUGCACAUGGUGUCAAUGGCAGGAAAUAUCUGCUUCCUGCUUUGUUUGAUCCUUCAACCUCUGCUUGUUCCACUUUGGUUUAAACAACAACGAUCUCUACACGCCCAGACACGAUUAUUUGCUUGUAGGAUUAUAUAAGAUAUUCUUUCAUUCUUUAUUACUUCUAUUUGUUAUAUACGCUG
rnacentral:lncRNA from 1 species